AACGAACGCUGGCGGCAUGCCUAACACAUGCAAGUCGAACGAGACCUUCGGGUCUAGUGGCGCACGGGUGCGUAACGCGUGGGAACCUGCCCUUAGGUUCGGAAUAACUCCCCGAAAGGGGUGCUAAUACCGGAUAAUGUCUUCGGACCAAAGAUUUAUCGCCUUUGGAUGGGCCCGCGUUGGAUUAGCUAGUUGGUAGGGUAAAAGCCUACCAAGGCGACGAUCCAUAGCUGGUCUGAGAGGAUGAUCAGCCACACUGGGACUGAGACACGGCCCAGACUCCUACGGGAGGCAGCAGUGGGGAAUAUUGGACAACGGGCGAAAGCCUGAUCCAGCAAUGCCGCGUGAGUGAUGAAGGCCUUAGGGUUGUAAAGCUCUUUUACCCGGGAUGAUAAUGACAGUACCGGGAGAAUAAGCGCCGGCUAACUCCGUG
rnacentral:rRNA from 1 species